rnacentral:rRNA from 1 species
CCUACGGGCGGCAGCAGUGGGGAUAUUGGACAAUGGGGGGAACCCUGAUCCAGCCAUGCCGCGUGUGUGAAGAAGGCCCUCGGGUUGUAAAGCACUUUCAGUGAGGAAGAACGCCUGGUGGUUAAUACCCAUCAGGAAAGACAUCACUCACAGAAGAAGCACCGGCUAACUCCGUGCCAGCAGCCGCGGUAAUACGGAGGGUGCGAGCGUUAAUCGGAAUUACUGGGCGUAAAGCGCGCGUAGGUGGCUUGAUAAGCCGGUUGUGAAAGCCCCGGGCUCAACCUGGGAACGGCAUCCGGAACUGUCAAGCUAGAGUGCAGGAGAGGAAGGUAGAAUUCCCGGUGUAGCGGUGAAAUGCGUAGAGAUCGGGAGGAAUACCAGUGGCGAAGGCGGCCUUCUGGACUGACACUGACACUGAGGUGCGAAAGCGUGGGUAGCAAACAGGAUUAGAUACCCGGGUAGUC